rnacentral:lncRNA from 1 species
AUCCACGGAAGGAGGAGGGGCUGAAGGUUAAAUUGAUCACUAAUUACUAAUAAUUUAACCAAUCAUGCCUGCAUAAUGAAGCUUCCAUAAAAACCCAAAAGGACGGGCCGGGCACGGUGGCUCACGCCUGUAAUCCCAGCACUUUGGGAGGCCGAGACGGGCGGAUCACGAGGUUGGUGAUUUGGAUAUCAGCUAUAUUAAUAUAGAGGGAAUCACUGCCACUACCAGCCCUGAAUCCAGAGGUUGCACUCUGUGGCCUCAGAGCAGCAAACACACCCUUCCUACAGAAACCAGUCCCAGUGUGUACCCACUUAGUGAAAAUGUCGAAGGGACAGCACACACUGAAGCCCAGCAGUCCUUCAUGUCACCAUCAAGUUCGUGUGCUUCCAACUUGAAUCUUUCUUUUGGUUGGCAUGGAUUUGAAAAGGAACAAAGUCAUCUAAAGAAAAGAAGUUCUAGCCUUGAUGCCUUGGACGCCGACAGUGAAGGGGAAGGGCAUUCUGAGCCAUCCCACAUCUGUUACACUCCAGGGUCUCAGAGCUCCUCAAGAACUGGGAUUCCUAGUGGGGAUGAAUUGGACUCUUUUGAGACUAACACUGAACCGGAUUUUAAUAUCUCCAGGGCUGAAUCCCUUCCUCUAUCAAGUAAUCUACAGUCGAAGGAAUCACUGCUUUCUGGAGUUCGCUCACGUUCUUAUUCUUGCUCAUCAC